rnacentral:sRNA from 18 species
GUCAGCACGUCUUUCUAGAAGGAACCCACUUCGGGCUUCUCCCUUCUAGCUAGCUGACCCGCCUAAGUCCUGCGAGGACUACGUUUAGGGGAAGCGUUAAAGUUCCUACCUUGUGGGGGCGUAGCCACCCGCAAGCUCUAGA